rnacentral:lncRNA from 1 species
CGAACAUCAAUUAGCACUCCUAACGAAGAAAUUUCGCCGAAAUUUCCGAAAGAAGAACAAUUCGGACAAAUCUUUAUUUUCGAAGAUUAAAUCCUUUUCUAAGCAUUCUUCUAAUUCAAAAUUUAAGGAUAAAAACCUUGCAAAGCUUUCGAAAGAAAAAGAUGAUUUUGAAGGGAAAAUCCAAUGUUACAAGUGUAGAGGCUACGGUCAUAUUGCAACGGAUUGUCCCUCUAAGAAAUCAUAUA